UACGUAGGGAGCAAGCGUUGUCCGGAAUCAUUGGGCGUAAAGCGCGCGUAGGUGGCCACAUAAGUCCGUUGUGAAAGUCAAAGGCUCAACCUUUGAAAGCCGAUGGAUACUGUGUGGCUAGAGUACGGAAGAGGCGAGUGGAAUUCCUGGUGUAGCGGUGGAAUGCGCAGAUAUCAGGAGGAACACCGGUGGCGAAGGCGGGUCUCUGGGCCGAUAUUGACGCUGAGGAGCGAAAGCGUGGGGAGCGAACAGG
rnacentral:rRNA from 1 species